GAUGGUUUGACAGAACCCCACUGACUGACUCAGCCUGCUCCUCACAAGCAGGGAAGAGCUGUUGGCAGCUCUGGUCACACAGGGCAGCCCAGGAAGCAGCAACACAAGAUGCUGGAGGCUGGGGCACAGAGGAAGGCUGGAAGGCACAGACUUGAUGGAUGCACCUCUCCUUUCUAAUGCCAAGCCCAAAUGUCAAGAGAAAUAACAUGAAGAAUGCUGAAAUUCGUUUUGAACUACGUCUGGAGUUCUCUGAAGGAGUGAACAGCCAUGCUGGCAUGGGAGAUACAGCUGAUAUGGUCUCCUUGGAUUCCUGAAAGUCACUGGACAAGAUCAUUCACCAAAGGUCUUAAAGAAGUUAAGACUGGGAUGAGAUGGACAGUGCUGACGUGGAUCGUCAAACAAUGAAAAGAAGUUGCUUUUCUUGCCAGAGGGAACUUAACACUAUGGUCCCAUAGGGUAUAUCUGAUGAGCCCUGCUCUUCAUUACAUUCACAAAUUAACGGAAUAUAAAGUGACAAAGUUCAGUGACUGUUCUGAACUCUUCUUUGUGUUAAAACCAAAAGCUAGGAAAGUCUGAAGAGCUGUUGUAACAUCUUGUGAUACUGAAUAACAUGUCAGGGUGGGGAAAGGGAAUGUGUGAAAAUGUAAAAAGAGUUCACAAGAGGAAUUCAAAUUUAAGAUAUUUUAUUGCAGACCCUGAAGAAUCUGUCAUCAGCUAGUCCAGAGAGUCUGAAGUCAUAAUAGCAAAGUAUGCAGGAAGAUCAGCAUAGUCCUGAAUGGCAGCCAGUAUGAAGCAAAUUAAUAGGGAAGGGAGGGAGAAUGAUGCAUAAAACAAUAUUAAGCUAUGGUAUCUUGAAGGCUGUGGACAUUUUUUAGCCUUCAUAUCAGUGUGUGUGUGUGUGUGUGUGUGUGUGUGUGUGUGUGUGUGUGUGUGUGUACAAACACACACACAUAUAUAUGCAUGUAUUUAUAAAAGAGUAUGGUUGAAUGACAGGGAAAACUAUGGGUGAAAAGGCUCAAUACAAAAAAAAUCAAACAUGGAAGGACUUUAGCUAUGAAAAAUGUUGACUCAGAGGAAAUAUGAAAGAGAGCUGUAAAAUCAUAUAUGGGAUGAAGCUAAAUAAGGAAGGAUGAUUUUUGUCUUCUGAAAUAAGAGGGAGCAUCCAAGGAAAUCACUAGGCAAUAGCUCAGCUGUAGAAACCAGACAUGGGGAUAUAUGAAGUACUAAAAGUUAACUUUGAUUCAAAAAGUGAUUAAACAAAUUCAUGGACAUAAAAAACCCCAAACCGAAGUAAAAGACAAAUUUCUAUUUAAUGCUGAGGUAAAGUAAGAGAUGUCUCAUUAGUAGACUUUGGCAAUGCCUCUCCCAGCAGUCCUUUAUGAUGACUCUAACUUUUAACAAGUGUUAUACAUUGACAAUACUUACCUUUUCUUGGGCACAUAGUUGUUAUGGAAAUAAGCAAUAACUUGGAACUGACCUCUUUGAGAAAUUCCAGAUCAGUGAGUGUCACAGAUAUUUCAUGAAUGAAUUUUAUCUUGCAACCUGCACACACAAUUCUUGAGCUGACAGGAUAAUAGUUUUAGAAUAAAUAAUGCAUAUCAAAACCAGUCACUGUGUAUGGGACGUUUUGCCAGUUUCACUAUUGAGGAAAAAAAAGCAAGUGUCCCAAAAGGGAAGGAAGAGGGAAAAAAAAUAGAAAAAAGAAAAAAAAAAGAAAAAGAAAGAAAUAAAAGUAUGCAGUUUUUUUUAUAAAUAAAACCAUUCCCAAUUUUUCCAAUUGAUGAUUAAUGAAAUGGCUUUUUCUUUUUUAAUGUAUGCAAACAAGCAGUUUUUUGCCUGCCUACUUCUUGCUUUUGGAUUUUAUUUCUGUUUAUUUUGCUUUUAUAUCAUAAUGCCAUUGUAUUCUUGAUCCAGGUUUCAACAGUCCAGUCCUACUUAGCAUGUACUUGAAGUACCUUAGAGAGGUUCCCUGAUUUUUUUUUUUUAAUAUCUGGAACAUUAUCCUUGUUCUUUUUCAUUCUGAGAGCCCUCAGAGUCACAUUCACACACUCAUAUUGGACGCGCUGGCUCAGAGAAAUGACGGCUUCCCUUCAGAUUGCCAUCUCAAUGACUCAGCAAGCAUCUUAAGGUGUUUAAAAUGAGGAUGGCACAACCUAAGGUCUGGAAAUUUUGCAGACUGUGAAAGUUAUUUAAUAAGUUUUAAAACUGG
ensembl:lncRNA